rnacentral:rRNA from 1 species
CCUACGGGUGGCAGCAGUGGGGGAUAUUGGACAAUGGGGGGAACUCUGAUCCAGCGACGCCGCGUGAGUGAAGAAGUAUUUCGGUAUGUAAAGCUCUGUCAGCAGGGAAGAAAGCAAUGACGGUACCUGACCAAGAAGCCCCGGCUAACUACGUGCCAGCAGCCGCGGUAAUACGUAGGGGGCAAGCGUGAUCCGGAAUUACUGGGGGUAAAGGGAGCGUAGACGGGUGUGCAAGUCUGGAGUGAAAGGCGGGGGCCCAACCCCCGGACUGCACUGGAAACUGGAUGGCUGGAGUGCAGGAGAGGUAAGCGGAAUGCAUGGUGGAGCGGUGAAAUGCGUAGAUAGUAGGAGGAACACCAGGGGCGAAGGCGGCUUACUGGACUGUAACUGACGUUGAGGCUCGAAAGCGUGGGGAGCAAACAGGAUUAGAGACCCGAGUAGUC